rnacentral:tRNA from 1 species
CGGGGCGUAGCGCAGCCUGGUAGCGCGCCUGCUUUGGGAGCAGGAUGUCGCAGGUUCGAAUCCUGCCGCCCCGACCA